rnacentral:lncRNA from 1 species
AUGCUCUCUGAUGGGUCACAGAGGGCAUUGGCACUCCCUCUGAGGAACACAAGGGCACAAGUGCUCCCUGUGGGGACCCAAUGGCCACGGGUUCUCUCUGAGGGGUCCCAAAGAGCAUGGGUGCUUCCAGUGGGAAACCUCUCUGAACAGGUGCCAAGACGGCAUGCUUCCUCCACAGAUUGGGUUCUUUGUGUGGAGAAGAUGUUUGAGGCUUCUGCUGCUUCCACUUUCCUCCCUGUCGGGAACCAGCAGGCAUGGGUGCUCCCUGUGGGAAUCGAGCUCCCUCUGCAAAAGAAGUCUGAAGGUUUUGCUGUUUCCACGUUCUUCUUUUCAGGUACCCAACAGACACAGGCACUCCAUGUGGGCUCCUGGUCCACAUGGGAGCUCCCUUUCCGUGCACCAGUGCUCCUUGUGGAGACCUGGCAGACCUGGGUGCUCCUUGUAGGUACCUGGCUCCCUGGGGCAAAAAGGUUUGUUGAGGCUUUUGCUGUCUCCACUUUCCUCCCUGUCGGGAACCAGCAGGCAUGUGUGCUUCCUGUGGGAACCGAGCUCCCUCUGCAAAAGAAGUCUGUAGGUUUAGCUGUUUCCUCUUUCUUCUUUUCAGGUACCCAACAGACACAGGUGCUCCAUGUGGGUUCCUGGUGCACAUGGGAGCUCCCUGCAGGACCCUUCCGUGCACCAGUGCUCCUUGUGGAUACCUGGCAGACCUGGGUGCUCCUUGUAGGUACCUGGCUCCCUGGGGCAAAAAGGUUUGUUGAGACUUUUGCCACCUCCACUUUACUCUCUUUGGGACCCUGUUGGGUACAGGUGCUCCCUGCAUGAAAGAGGCGUGAGGUUUCUCUUGCCUCAUUGUCAUGAUGGAUAGGGUUCUUAGAUGGUUGUAAGACAGAUGAUCCAAUGAUGUGCAAAAUUGCUUGUGUGUACAACAAACACUAUUUGUAUAUUUGAUACCUAUAGUGAGAGAUAAAGAGAGGGAAGAGAUGAAUUGAGUAAACACAACAGAGCUUGGAAGUUCAUUGACUGUUUUUGUUUUAUAGCUAUAUGGGCGAAAACACUUUUGUGUGACUGUAAGCACAUCAGCUAUUCAAAAACCCGCCACACCACAAGGCACCACUCACAUAUUGUUUCAAUAAAUCGAACCAUAUUUAUCACAAAUACAUGUUUAUGUACCUAAUGAGUCCACCCUAAAUUAGAAUAUUGCAUAUUGUGCAUUUUCAGGGAUACGUUUUGGUGAUAGAAGAAAAAAAGUUUGUUUCAUACGGAGUGAUUACACAUUAUUUUUUUCUUCAGUUUGCAUUAUUUUUCAAACACCAAACUUCAAACUCAUCAAGCCACUUUGUUAAUUUUUGAAGUUAACUUAUGUUUGUAUGGUGAGUAGAUUCACUGUUUUGGACUGCAGCCUUGAACUUAAAGACGGGUGUGCAUGGGACAAUCUGUCAUCGUGUUAUGUGAUAGUAUUAAAAAAAAUCGUACAGUGCAGCGGGCUUUAGUCUAAAUACAUGAACUGAGACACACAUUCCCUGCUUAAACAGAGCCUUCUCGGAGUCAUGAAAAGAUUGAUAAAAAGAUCCCCAAAGCACUGCUGAUGAGGAUACUCACAAUCACUCGCCGACUCGCUCACUCGCCGACUCGCUCCAAAAUGUAGUCUUGUCUGCGAUAAUGUUUAUACUACUCACCGAACGUUCUAUGGAAUGUUCGUUACGCUAUGUCACAACCGCGUUCCUUAGCAACCACACACAGCGCUCAAUAAACAGAACAUGAAAAAAUACAACAACAACAAAACAGAACUCAGUAAAGUAAGGAGUUCGUUAGUGAUGGGAGUCCUCUGCGGUUUCAUUCGAAUACAUAAAUAUAGAAAGUGAAUACAUAAAUAUAGAAAGAUUUUUUUUUGACAAUUAUUUUUAUUAUGUGUAAAACAUUUAAUGAUUUUUAUUAGUAAUACAUGAUGUGUACAAUUUAAAAGUGACAUUGACAGUGAAGUGAAAAUCACCUGAUUUAAUCGUUAGCUCUAACACAUUAUAGCAUCUAUGUUAUUAUUUAUUAAUGUUGUUAUGUUGAAAAUAAAUAAAUAAAUAAAUAAAUAAAUAAAUAAAUAAGAAAAGAGAGAAAUAUGUUAAAACCAAAACACUGGUCUCAAGCACAGUGUUCAAAACGCAAAGGACGGAGCUGACUAUUACAUCAAUGACAGACUGCCAUCUUGUGGCAA